rnacentral:rRNA from 1 species
ACGCUCGACACCUACGGGGGCAGCAGUGGGGAAUAUUGGGCAAUGGGCGAAAGCCUGACCCAGCAACGCCGCGUGAGGGAAGAAGGUUUUCGGAUUGUAAACCUCUGUCCUCAGGGACGAAGGACGUGACGGUACCUGAGGAGGAAGCCCCGGCUAACUACGUGUCAGCAGCCGCGGUAAUCUGAGCGGGCUGGCAAGGC